rnacentral:rRNA from 1 species
AUUGAACGCUGGCGGCAGGCCUAACACAUGCAAGUCGAGCGAGCGGCGGACGGGUGAGUAAUGGAUGGGGAUCUGCCCGAGAGAGGGGGCUAACUACUGGAAACGGUGGCUAAUACAGCAUACUAUAGGAGGAACACAUAUUGGAUUAGCUAGUAGGUGGGCUAAAGGCACACCUAGGCGACGAUCUCUAGCUGGUCUGAGAGGAUGAUCAGCCACACUGGGACUGAGACACGGCCCAGACUCCUACGUGAGGCAGCAGUGGGGAAUAUUGCACAAUGGGCGCAAGCCUGAUGCAGCCAUGCCGCGUGUAUGAAGAAGGCCUUAGGGUUGUAAAGUACUUUCAGCGGGGAGGCGUUACCCGCAGAAGAAGCACCGGCUAACUCCGUGCCAGCCGCCGCGGUAAUUC